GCAUCAAUGAUGAUGAGUUGUGGGUUUUCAGAUUGAUACUAAAAGAUAAUGGUGGUGUGUCCGAGAUGACGCAUAGAGGGGAGAUACCUGUAGGCGACAACUCGAGUCACUCGGCCUGCUAGGCCUAACCCACGGCCUAGCGCGCUGUGCACCCGAGAAAAACACAUGGCCCAUGCCGCAUGCCCUUGCAGGUAGGUCGACUAAGGCCCAUCAGGAAGACCCAAAGACUAGCCCUCAUCUCGAGGCCCAAUGUAGUGGACCCACACCCAGAUACGAUCUUGGAAUCGACACAAACCAUCAUCUGUGAACUUGAUAUCAGGAAAUUCAUAAGAAGUAAACUUACAUAGGUUCUGAGUUAUCUUAGGGUCAAUGGACUGAGCUUCCUAAAUCUUUAUAAAAAGAUCAGGCAAGGCCUAAAUUUGGGUAAGUUAGGCACCACUGCCAUAGUGAUUAAGGCAGAGUACCUGUAUUGCAUCAACUAGUUUCCAACUGGAGGCCAUCAUUCG
rnacentral:lncRNA from 1 species